rnacentral:lncRNA from 1 species
AAUCAUAGACUAACUGGUUACUGGCUCUAUUGAUAACCUGUACUUAAUUAAUCAAGGAAUUGAUAAUCAUUUAAAAUUUCCGUUUAGUAGUAAUUUAGCUUUAAUUUCACCGCAACAGGAAAAAAGAGUGAGGGAUUCUUACACUAUGUCGAUGUCCAGAACAUCACCUUUUUUACUACUGUUCUUGACAGUUCCUGAUU